rnacentral:rRNA from 1 species
UACGUAGGGGGCUAGCGUUGUCCGGAAUCAUUGGGCGUAAAGCGCGUGUAGGCGGUCCGGUAAGUCCGCUGUGAAAGCCCGGGGCUCAACUGUUGAAAGCCGGUGGAUACUGUCGGGCUAGAGUACGGAAGAGGCAAGUGGAAUUCCUGGUGUAGCGGUGGAAUGCGCAGAUAUCAGGAGGAACACCUAUAGCGAAGGCAGCUUGCUGGGACGUUACUGACGCUGAGGCGCGAAAGCGUGGGGAGCGAACAGG